rnacentral:rRNA from 1 species
UACAGAGGUCUCAAGCGUUGUUCGGAUUCAUUGGGCGUAAAGGGUGCGUAGGCGGCGCGGUAAGUCGGGUGUGAAAUCUCGGGGCUUAACUCCGAAACUGCAUUCGAUACUGCCGUGCUUGAGGACUGGAGAGGAGACUGGAAUUUACGGUGUAGCGGUGAAAUGCGUAGAUAUCGUAAGGAAGACCAGUGGCGAAGGCGGGUCUCUGGACAGUUCCUGACACUGAGGCGCGAAGGCCAGGGGAGCAAACGGG